GACUGAAUCAAACUCUGAAGCUCUUUUGCCUAAGUGAUAUUUCAAUUCAUAUGGUGGAUUAGCCGCGGUAUAGCACAGAAAUGGCUAUGCUUCCCGAUUUGGAUAAGGUGUUUAAAUAUAUGCAAU
rnacentral:ncRNA from 2 species